AGCAGCCGCGGUAAUUCCAGCUCCAAUAGCGUAUAUUAAAGUUGUUGCAGUUAAAAAGCUCGUAGUUGAAUUUCGGGAUCAGUACGCUGGUCGUGCCUCUGGUAUGUACUGGUGUCACUGAUUCCUACCUUCUGACGAACCGUCAUGUCAUUAAUUUGGUGUGGCGGGGAAUCAGGACUGUUACUUUGAAAAAUUAGAGUGUUUAAAGCAGGCUCGCGCUUGAAUACAUUAGCAUGGAAUAAUGAAAUAGGACGUUCGAUCCUAUUUUGUUGGUUUCUAGGAUUGACGUAAUGAUUAAUAGGGAUAGUUGGGGGCAUUAGUAUUCAAUUGUCAGAGGUGAAAUUCUUGGAUUUAUUGAAGACUAACUACUGCGAAAGCAUUUGCCAAGGAUGUUUUCAUUAAUCAAGAACGAAAGUUAGGGGAUCGAAGACGAUCAGAUACCGUCGUAGU
rnacentral:rRNA from 1 species